rnacentral:tRNA from 1 species
GAGGGUAUAACUCAGUAGUAGAGUAUGUACAUGGCAUGCACUGGGUCCUAGGUUCGAUCCCUAGAGCCUCCA